rnacentral:lncRNA from 1 species
GGAACAUCUCACGAGCUUUCCUACAUCUUCCGUGGUUCCCAGCACAGCCCAAGAUUAUUUGGCAGCCAAGUGGAUGGAACUAACUUUCCUGGACUGUGUUUCGCAUUCGGCGUUAUCUGGAAAGUGGACUGAACGGAAUCAAGCUCUGAGCAGAGGCCUGAAGCGGAAGCACCACAUCGUCCCUGCCCAUCUCACUCUCUCCCUUGAUGAUGCCCCUAGAGCUGAGGCUGG